UGUCAGUGCUGGAAGCGGCAUGUUGGUCAGCCGGCGACUGACAGGGGCGCGAGCCCGGGCACCUCUGCUUGCGAGUCUCCUCGAGGCUUGGUGCCGCCAGGGCAGGACCACCUCCUCCUACUCCGCUUUCUCGGAGCCGUCGCAUGUGCGGGCGCUGGUCUAUGGCAACCACGGGGAUCCAGCCAAGGUCAUCCACUAUAAAAGCAGAACAAUAGUCUGCAAGCUAUUGAAAUGGGAUGGAAGCUGGCCGGCCUAUAAAGCACUUGGCAGGGAGCCUGGCUGGUGAACACUCACUGACUGAAGAACCUGGAGCUCACUGCUGUGGAAGGAUCUGACGUCCAUGUGAAGAUGCUGGCAGCCCCUAUCAAUCCAUCUGACAUAAAUAUGAUCCAAGGGAACUAUGGCCUCCUUCCCAAGCUGCCUGCUGUUGGAGGGAAUGAAGGUGUUGGACAGGUGAUAGCAGUGGGCAGCAGUGUGUCUGGAUUGAAGCCAGGAGAUUGGGUGAUCCCAGCAAAUGCUGGUUUGGGUGAGUGUCCCCAAGGGGUGAGCAGCCAUUU
rnacentral:lncRNA from 1 species